rnacentral:rRNA from 1 species
UACAGAGGUGGCAAGCGUUGUUCGGAUUUACUGGGCGUAAAGGGUCCGUAGGCGGUUCGGUUAGUCAAAUGUGAAAGCCCACAGCUCAACUGUGGAACUGCAUUUGAAACUGCCGAGCUAGAGUGUGAGAGGGGGUUAAGGGAAUUCCCGGUGUAAGGGUGAAAUCUGCAGAGAUCGGGAGGAACACCAGUCGCGAAGGCGCUUAACUGGCUCACUACUGACGCUCAGGGACGAAAGCUAGGGUAGCAAACGGG